rnacentral:rRNA from 1 species
GUGGGGAAUUUUGGACAAUGGGCGCAAGCCUGAUCCAGCAAUGCCGCGUGCAGGAAGAAGGCCUUCGGGUUGUAAACUGCUUUUGUACGGAACGAAACGGCUCUGGUUAAUACCCGGGGCUAAUGACGGUACCGUAAGAAUAAGCACCGGCUAACUACGUGCCAGCAGCCGCGGUAAUACGUAGGGUGCAAGCGUUAAUCGGAAUUACUGGGCGUAAAGCGUGCGCAGGCGGUUUUGUAAGACAGGCGUGAAAUCCCCGGGCUCAACCUGGGAAUGGCGCUUGUGACUGCAAAGCUGGAGUGCGGCAGAGGGGGAUGGAAUUCCGCGUGUAGCAGUGAAAUGCGUAGAUAUGCGGAGGAACACCGAUGGCGAAGGCAAUCCACUGGGCCUGCACUGACGCUCAUGCACGAAAGCGUGGGGAGCAAACAGGAUUAGAAACCCCAGUAGUCC